GCCAGCACGUUAUGGUAGCGGCCUGCCUCUCAUAAGGGCGGGACGAGAGUUCGAUUCUCUCUGCUGGUAC
rnacentral:tRNA from 1 species